rnacentral:pre_miRNA from 1 species
UAGGUAGUUUCAUGUUGUUGGGCUCCAAUUCGUGUUCCUGCAACACGAAGCUGCCUUAA